AUUGAACGCUGGCGGCAGGCCUAACACAUGCAAGUCGAACGAGUGGCGGACGGGUGAGUAAUGUCUGGGAAACUGCCUGAUGGAGGGGGAUAACUACUGGAAACGGUAGCUAAUACCGCAUACCCUCGGAUGUGCCCCGAUGGGAUUAGCUAGUAGGUGGGGUAAUGGCUCACCUAGUAGACGACCCCUAGCUGGUCUGAGAGGAUGACGAGCCACAGGGGAACUGAGACACGGUCCAGACUCCUACGGGAGGAAGCAGUGGGGAGUAUUGCACAAUGGGCGCAAGCCUGAUGCAGCCAUGCCGCGUGUGUGAAGAAGGCCUUCGGGUUGUAAAGUACUUUCAGCGGGGAGGCGUUACCCGCAGAGAAAGCACCGGCUAACUCCGUGCCAGCAGCCGCGGUAAUUC
rnacentral:rRNA from 1 species